rnacentral:rRNA from 1 species
CCCGGUAGUAAAGUGGCAAACGGGUGAGGAAUACAUGGGUAACCUACCCUUGAGAAGGGAAUAACCCGCCGAAAGGUGAGCUAAUACCCUAUACGCUAUUCUUUUUUACGAAAAGGAUAGGAAAGCCGGGUCGAGGACCUGGUACUCAAGGGAGGGGCUCAUGUCCUAUCAGCUUGUUGGUGGGGUAACGGCCUACCAAGGCUACGACGGGUAGCUGGUCUGAGAGGAUGGUCAGCCACACUGGCACUGAGAUACGGGCCAGACUCCUACGGGAGGCAGCAGUGAGGAAUAUUGCGCAAUGGGCGAAAGCCUGACGCAGCGACGCCGCGUGGGGGAUGAAGGUUUUCGGAUUGUAAACCCCUUUCAUGAGGAAAGAUAAAGUGGGUAACCACUUAGACGGUACCUCAAGAAGAAGCCACGGCUAACUUCGUG